UUUAUUGAUAAUCGAAAGUUACAUGGAUAACCGUGACAAAUUACAGCUAAUACAUGCAAUCAGACCUGGUCCAAGGGUCGUAAUUAUUAGUACUAAACCAUUUCCGUCAGGAAUGUGAUGAUUCAUAGUAAUCGAACGAAUCGCAGGUAUAUGCGAUAAGUCAUUCAAGUUUCUGCCCUAUCAGCUUUGGAUGGUAGUGUAUUGGACUACCAUGGCAGUCACGGGUAACGGAGAAUUAGGGUUCGAUUCCGGAGAGGGAGCCUGAGAAACGGCUACCACAUCUACGGAAGGCAGCAGGCGCGCAAAUUGCCCAAUCCUGACACGGGGAGGCAGUGACAAGAAAUAACAACUCUAGGAUUUCUUAGAAGUGUAAUGAGGAUAAUUUACAAACCUUACCGAAUGCAAUUGGAGGGCAAGUCUGGUGCCAGCAGCCGCGGUAAUUCCAGCUCCAAUAGCGUAUAUUAAAGUUGUUGCAGUUAAAAAGCUCGUAGUUGAAGUUCUG
rnacentral:rRNA from 1 species